rnacentral:rRNA from 1 species
UACGGAGGGUGCAAGCGUUAUCCGGAUUCACUGGGUUUAAAGGGUGCGUAGGUGGGUUAGUAAGUCAGUGGUGAAAUCUUCGAGCUUAACUCGGAAACUGCCAUUGAUACUAUUAGUCUUGAAUAUUGUGGAGGUUAGCGGAAUAUGUCAUGUAGCGGUGAAAUGCUUAGAUAUGACAUAGAACACCAAUUGCGAAGGCAGCUGGCUACACAUAUAUUGACACUGAGGCACGAAAAGCGUGGGGAUCAAAACAGG